GACGAACGCUGGCGGCGUGCCUAAUACAUGCAAGUCGAGCGGAUCUUCAUUAGCUUGCUUUUGAAGAUCAGCGGCGGACGGGUGAGUAACACGUGGGCAACCUGCCUGUAAGACUGGGAUAACUUCGGGAAACCGGAGCUAAUACCGGAUAAUCCUUUUCCUCUCAUGAGGAAAAGCUGAAAGACGGUUUCGGCUGUCACUUACAGAUGGGCCCGCGGCGCAUUAGCUCGUUGGUGAGGUAACGGCUCACCAAGGCGACGAUGCGUAGCCGACCUGAGAGGGUGAUCGGCCACACUGGGACUGAGACACGGCCCAGACUCCUACGGGAGGCAGCAGUAGGGAAUCUUCCGCAAUGGACGAAAGUCUGACGGAGCAACGCCGCGUGAGCGAUGAAGGCCUUCGGGUCGUAAAGCUCUGUUGUCAGGGAAGAACAAGUACCGGAGUAACUGCCGGUACCUUGACGGUACCUGACCAGAAAGCCACGGCUAACUACGUGCCAGCCGCCGCCGUAAUAC
rnacentral:rRNA from 1 species